UUUUUCAUACUCCGACCUAUUUCUUCUUUUUCUUUGAAUUUUUUUUAUGGCUAUCUUUCUCUAUCUUUUAGCUUUAAUAAUAGUGGCCUUAAAUCAUUUCGAACCCCAUAUUCUUUGAUUUGGCUUUCUGGAUGUUGAAAUCUCUGUCCAAAAAUUAUGUUUUGUGCUUGAUUUGCAGAAGAGUUUGGAUUGAUAAGGCUUCUAGUGGGUGGAGUCUAAUUGGGUUGCUUUGAUUUUGUGCUAGGGUUGUGAUUGAGGAGGGAAAAUUGUCAUGGAGGAGAGUGCGGUUGAAAAGCAAAGGAAUUGGUCACAUUGUGCCUGAAAAUGAGACGUUUGACCAUUUGAUUGAAGAACAAGGACGCGAGAUUAGCUCAAGCUCUGAUUUUCUUACAUUGGAGACCAUAGGGCUUUAGGAGCACAGUCAUAGUGGCUCUGAGGACUAUCUUCCUUUCUUCAUUGAGUUGGUUCACUCGAAAGGCUAACGGACCCGAUUGUAUUAACCUAAUGUUGCUGAUAAAGAAGAAAAACACUAUGUUAAUAGGAAGUUGAAGAAGAAAGUAUCUUCAUCGUCAGAUUGAGAUGUUGAAGGAAAGAUUUUCUAAACUCUUGCUUGGAGAAGAUAUGCAGGCUGUGGAAAUGGGAUUUGUAUGGCAUUGGCUAUAUCUAAUGCCAAUAUGAUUGAGAAUGCAAUGAGAAUCCAUUCAUAUAUAAACAUUAAAAAUAUACAAUAUAUGCAUGUGUAAUUUGUUAAA